UAUUGUAUUGACAUGGUUUUGGUGUAAAAGACAAGCCCUACUUACAUUGACUUCAAAGCAGAAUAGCUGAACCAUAAUCAUUGGGAAAAAAGUGAGUAAUUUGGAAAUAAAGAUUCAUUUUGAUGUGAAGAUACCAGGUAUGGUGUGGAUUUGGCCCGUAAGCCCACCAGAACUUGGUACCAGGUAUGGUGUGGAUUUGGCCCGUAAGCCCACCAGAACUUGGUACCAGGUUAGGUGUGGAUUUGGCCCGUAAGCCCACCAGAACUUGGUUCCAGGUUAGGUGUGGAUUUGGCCCGUAAACCCACCAGAACUUGGUAGCAGGUUAGGUGUGGAUUUGGCCCGUAAGCCCACCAGAACUUGGUUCCAGGUUAGGUGUGGAUUUGGCCCGUAAACCCACCAGAACUUGGUUCCAGGUUAGGUGUGGAUUUGGCCCGUAAACCCACCAGAACGUGGUAGCAGGUUAGGUGUGGAUUUGGCCCGUAAGCCCACCAGAACGUGGUAGCAGGUUAGGUGUGGAUUUGGCCCGUAAACCCACCAGAACUUGGUUCCAGGUUAGGUGUGGAUUUGGCCCGUAAGCCCACCAGAACUUGGUAGCAGGUUAGGUGUGGAUUUGGCCCGUAAGCCCACCAGAACUUGGUACCAGGUUAGGUGUGGAUUUGGCCCGUAAGCCCACCAGAACUUGGUUCCAGGUUAGGUGUGGAUUUGGCCCGUAAGCCCACCAGAACUUGGUUCCAGGUUAGGUGUGGAUUUGGCCCGCAAGCCCACCAGAACUUGUCGGUAGCAGUACUGGGUUAAAGGCCUUUAUAUUUCAGGGGAUUUCUGCAAUGCUUAUUUGCCAU